rnacentral:misc_RNA from 1 species
UUUUACUUUAAAAAGGGACGCCAUAUUUGUUUGAGAANCUUGUCUAUUCAUAGCGUCGAAAUUACAUUUUUUAUCUCUUAGGAAUCUUGAUUUUUCACUGUUUAACAAAAUGAAUCGAAGUAAUAACAACGACUGCAGAGUUUAUGUUGGAAAUUUGCCUCAAGAUAUUCGCGAAAAAGACUUAGAAAAUAUCUUUUAUAAGUACGGUCACAUCGCUGAGAUCGACCUCAAGAACCGUCGUGGUGGACCACCUUUUGCAUUUGUUGAGUUUGAGGAUCCAAGAGAUGCAGAUGAUGCUGUAAGGGGUAAAGAUGGUUAUGAGUUUGAAGGAUUCCGAAUCAGGGUGGAGUUUCCUAGAGGUGGUAGAGGGGGAGGAAGUNGUGGUGGUGGCGGCGGUGGGGGCAGGAGUGGAUUUUCUAGUCGAGGAAGGGGACCCCCACCACGCAGGUCAGACUUUCGGGUCCAUGUUUCUGGGCUUCCACCAACUGGAAGUUGGCAAGAUCUGAAAGACCACAUGAGGGAAGCUGGUGAUGUACUCUUCACAGAUGUAUUUAAGGAUGGAACAGGUGUGGUGGAGUAUGCUCGUUAUGAUGACAUGAAGUAUGCCUUAAAAAACUUGGAUGAUUCAAAAUUCAGGUCACAUGAGGGUGAGGUUUCAUAUGUUCGGGUAAAGAGCGACAACAUGUCCCGCAGCAAAUCAAGGAGUCGCUCACCAAGACGAUCACGCAGCAAAUCCAGAUCACCUUCAAGAUCUAAAUCAAAAAGUCCCACAAGAAGAAGAAUGAGAUCAUAUUCAANAUCUCCCAGAAGGUCAGAAAGUCCAAGACGUUCCUACAGUCCUCGUCGAUCCAGAUCCCAUUCAAGCAGCCGUUCAUAAACUCUUUUANAACUCUUAGUCUCGAUUUAACUCUAGUUAUGUUUGUCAGCUUUGCGUAUUAUUUGUUAGUACCUUUUCUUACCAAUAAUAUGUAGAGUAUAUCUGUGAUUUUGAAUCUGAGAGUUCAGUUUCUUAAAUUUCCUCUCACAGGAGAAGAAAGGUAACCAUUCCCUGAGAGGUUUACUUUGAUGUUUUGUACAAAGUUUAAACAUCCUUUCACCUGCUCAUUACCUUGUUUUAUAGAUAACCAAAGGAUUGCUAAUCUAUUUGGUAAGGCAUGCUCAAGUGUCUUAGGACAAAGUUAAGACAAACAGGAGCUUGACUUGCUCCAUGAUCAGAAACGGAAAAGGAUCACCUUAACAAGGGAUUCAUAGGAGGGAGACAUUUGGAUCACAAACCCUGGAAUAUGAUAAAGGAUUGCAUAAAUCAUUGGAAGGGAACAGGAUCAAUCAAUCAAUACUGUGAUGAUGGAUAUCCUAGGAUUUCUUUUUUUGGAUUUUAGCAAGUUGGAAAGGAUCGGUUUCAUUGGCGCUUGGCCAUGGUGAAUCCUUCUUGCCUACUUGAGUGGGAUAUAUCAGGAUUGAAGCAAACAAUCAGGAGGGAUUUCAUUAAAGGUGGUAUGAUUGAAAUUGGUUUCAAAGUCUGGAUUUUCUUUUUCUUAAAAUGAUGCCAUUAAAAAUGGAACAUACCACAUUUUAUUAACAAGAUACUUAUUAUAUAACUGCAAUGGUCUUUAUUACAGAAAUUUCAUAGCUCUUCAUUGAUUGUGCUGAGCUGUUUAUCAAAAGUGUUAGGAUCAUAGUUGUGUGAUAAAUUACUAGGAACCUUCUAGUAGUUUGUGUGAUAUUGAACUUUGCAGUUAGUGUGUGAUUGUAUGUUUUAUGCUAAUAACUUUUUUUGCAGCUUUAUAUAUAUNCAAUAAAAGAAUUCAAACUAUUA